rnacentral:rRNA from 1 species
AGUGAACGCUGGCGGUAGGCCUAACACAUGCAAGUCGAACGGCAGCACAGUAAGAGCUUGCUCUUACGGGUGGCGAGUGGCGGACGGGUGAGGAAUACAUCGGAAUCUACUUUUUCGUGGGGGAUAACGUAGGGAAACUUACGCUAAUACCGCAUACGACCUACGGGUGAAAGCAGGGGAUCUUCGGACCUUGCGCGAUUGAAUGAGCCGAUGUCGGAUUAGCUAGUUGGCGGGGUAAAGGCCCACCAAGGCGACGAUCCGUAGCUGGUCUGAGAGGAUGAUAAGCCACACUGGAACUGAGACACGGUCCAGACUCCUACGGGAGGCAGCAGAGGGGAAUAUUGGACAAUGGGCGCAAGCCUGAUCCAGCCAUACCGCGUGGGUGAAGAAGGCCUUCGGGUUGUAAAGCCCUUUUGUUGGGAAAGAAAAGCAGCAGGUUAAUACCCCGCUGUUCUGACGGUACCCAAAGAAUAAGCACCGGCUAACUUCGUG